rnacentral:rRNA from 1 species
GACGAACGCUGGCGGCGUGCUUAACACAUGCAAGUCGAACGGGUCUGCCCUGUUUUUUGCGGGGUGGGUCAGUGGCGAACGGGUGAGUAACACGUGAGUAACCUGCCCCUCACUUCUGGAUAACCGCUUGAAAGGGUGGCUAAUACGGGGUGUUCUGGCUGUGCCGCAUGGUGUGGCUGGGAAAGAUUCACUUUUGUGGUGUUUUGGUGGGGGAUGGGCUCGCGGCCUAUCAGCUUGUUGGUGGGGUGAUGGCCUGCCAAGGCUUUGACGGGUAGCCGGCCUGAGAGGGUGGGCGGUCACACUGGGACUGAGAUACGGCCCAGACUCCUGCGGGAGGCAGCAGUGGGGGGUAUUGCACAAUGGGCGGAAGCCUGAUGCAGCGACGUCGCGUGAGGGAUGGAGGCCUUCGGGUUGUGAACCUCUUUCGCCGGUGAAGAUGGUCCUGCUCUUUGUGGUGGGGUUGACGGUAGCCGGGUUAUGAAGCGCCGGCUAACUACGUG